rnacentral:rRNA from 2 species
UUGAGAGUUGAUCAUGGCUCAGGACGCACGCUGGCNGCGUGCCUAAUACAUGCNAGUCGAACGAACUCUGGUAUUGAUUGGUGCUUGCAUCAUGAUUUACAUUUGAGUGAGUGGCGAACUGGUGAGUAACACGUGGGAAACCUGCCCAGAAGCGGGGGAUAACACCUGGAAACAGAUGCUAAUACCGCAUAACAACUUGGACCGCAUGGUCCGAGUUUGAAAGAUGGCUUCGGCUAUCACUUUUGGAUGGUCCCGCGGCGUAUUAGCUAGAUGGUGAGGUAACGGCUCACCAUGGCAAUGAUACGUAGCCGACCUGAGAGGGUAAUCGGCCACAUUGGGACUGAGACACGGCCCAAACUCCUACGGGAGGCAGCAGUAGGGAAUCUUCCACAAUGGACGAAAGUCUGAUGGAGCAACGCCGCGUGAGUGAAGAAGGGUUUCGGCUCGUAAAACUCUGUUGUUAAAGAAGAACAUAUCUGAGAGUAACUGUUCAGGUAUUGACGGUAUUUAACCAGAAAGCCACGGCUAACUACGUGCCAGCAGCCGCGGUAAUACGUAGGUGGCAAGCGUUGUCCGGAUUUAUUGGGCGUAAAGCGAGCGCAGGCGGUUUUUUAAGUCUGAUGUGAAAGCCUUCGGCUCAACCGAAGAAGUGCAUCGGAAACUGGGAAACUUGAGUGCAGAAGAGGACAGUGGAACUCCAUGUGUAGCGGUGAAAUGCGUAGAUAUAUGGAAGAACACCAGUGGCGAAGGCGGCUGUCUGGUCUGUAACUGACGCUGAGGCUCGAAAGUAUGGGUAGCAAACAGGAUUAGAUACCCUGGUAGUCCAUACCGUAAACGAUGAAUGCUAAGUGUUGGAGGGUUUCCGCCCUUCAGUGCUGCAGCUAACGCAUUAAGCAUUCCGCCUGGGGAGUACGGCCGCAAGGCUGAAACUCAAAGGAAUUGACGGGGGCCCGCACAAGCGGUGGAGCAUGUGGUUUAAUUCGAAGCUACGCGAAGAACCUUACCAGGUCUUGACAUACUAUGCAAAUCUAAGAGAUUAGACGUUCCCUUCGGGGACAUGGAUACAGGUGGUGCAUGGUUGUCGUCAGCUCGUGUCGUGAGAUGUUGGGUUAAGUCCCGCAACGAGCGCAACCCUUAUUAUCAGUUGCCAGCAUUAAGUUGGGCACUCUGGUGAGACUGCCGGUGACAAACCGGAGGAAGGUGGGGAUGACGUCAAAUCAUCAUGCCCCUUAUGACCUGGGCUACACACGUGCUACAAUGGAUGGUACAACGAGUUGCGAACUCGCGAGAGUAAGCUAAUCUCUUAAAGCCAUUCUCAGUUCGGAUUGUAGGCUGCAACUCGCCUACAUGAAGUCGGAAUCGCUAGUAAUCGCGGAUCAGCAUGCCGCGGUGAAUACGUUCCCGGGCCUUGUACACACCGCCCGUCACACCAUGAGAGUUUGUAACACCCAAAGUCGGUGGGGUAACNAUUUUAGGAACCAGCCGCCUAAGGUGGU